CGCGGCAUUAACGUGAUUGGUGCCCUCCCGCUUGCCGGCUGGAGGGUGAAACGGGAAGCCGGUGACGCGCGGGAUUUUCAUCUCGCGCCAGUCCGGCGCAGCCCCCGCUGCUGUAAGCCUGACGACUUCGAUCGAACGCCACUGUGCACCGCACGGGAAGGCAGGGUUGAGGAAGGAUGAAGGCCAGCCAGAAGACCGGCCAGUCACGAAGAUUGCGC
rnacentral:ncRNA from 2 species